rnacentral:rRNA from 1 species
AAACACCCGAUCCCAUCCCGAACUCGGAAGUUAAGCCCGCUGGCGGCGAAGGUAGUGCUAGGGCGACUUAGUGUGAGAAUAGCAAGAUGCAACCU